rnacentral:rRNA from 1 species
ACAGCAGCAGCCGCGGUAAAACGGAGGAUCCAAGCGUUAUCCGGAAUCAUUGGGUUUAAAGGGUCCGUAGGCGGUCUUGUAAGUCAGUGGUGAAAGCCCAUCGCUCAACGGUGGAACGGCCAUUGAUACUGCAGGACUUGAAUUAUUGGGAAGUAACUAGAAUAUGUAGUGUAGCGGUGAAAUGAUUAGAGAUUACAUGGAAUACCAAUUGCGAAGGCAGGUUACUACCAAUUGAUUGACGCUGAUGGACGAAAGCGUGGGUAGCGAACAGGAUUAGAUACCCCAGUAGUCCCUGUCUCUUAUAC